GGACUGUCUCUCUUGGCUGGCUAGCAGGAAGCCUGGACUGUCUCUCUUGGCUGGUUAGCAGGGAGGCUGGACUGUCUCUCUUGGCUGGCUAGCAGGAAGCCUGGACUGUCUCUCUUGGCUGGUUAGCAGGAAGCCUGGACUGUCUCUCUUGGCUGGCUAGCAGGAAGCCUGGACUGUCUCUCUUGGCUGGUUAGCAGGGAGGCUGGACUUUCUCUCUUGGCUGGUUAGCAGGGAGGCUGGACUGUCUCUCUUGAAUGGUUAGCAGGAAGGCUGGACUGUUUCUCUUGGCUGGUUAGUAGGGAGGCUGGACUGUCUGUCUUGGCUGGUUAGCAGGGAGGCUGGACUGUCUCUUGGCUGG
ensembl:lncRNA